AUUUGUGAACAUACCUACGUUUCCCUCGGCGGGUCAAGCGCGCUGGGCCUCCGGGUCCUGGGCGUCCGCCGGGGGCAUUCAAACCCGAAUUUACAGUGUAUUUCUGAAGGGCGAAAGCCCGAUAAAAAAAUAAAUCAAAACUUUCAACAACGGAUCUCUUGGCUCUGGCAUCGAUGAAGAACGCAGCGAAAUGCGAUAAGUAAUGUGAAUUGCAGAAUUCAGUGAAUCAUCGAAUCUUUGAACGCACAUUGCGCCCGCCGGCACUCCGGCGGGCAUGCCUGUCCGAGCGUCAUUUCAACCCUCGGGCCCCCGCCUAGCGGAGGCCCGGUGUUGGGGAUCAGGGUCCGUACGGCCUCUGCCCCCUAAAUUCAGUGGCGGUCGCGCCGCAGCCUCCCCUGCGUAGUAAUGCACAUCGCAUCGGAGAGCGGCACGGCCACGCCGUAAAACCCCCCAAUUUUUUAAGGUUGACCUCGGAUCAGGUAGGAAUACCCGCUGAACUUAAGCAUAUCAAUAAGCGGAGGA
rnacentral:rRNA from 1 species